CCAGCCCUCGCCUUCAUACAGUACAUUUAAAGUAGCAGUAACCUUUUUUUCCUCCCCCCGCAGCCUGCCUGGAAACAUUAGAAGGGACCGAGGCGGCGAGAUGUCUAAAAUAGGAAGACGCUGGGGACGGCUGGCCUGGCUGCCCGUGUUGCUGGCUGCAGGGAUCUGGUCCGGCUGUGCAGAUGGAAAAGCUAGAAGGUGGUGCUGGGCAGUCACGCCGAAGCCAGUCAGGAAAACCCACAAGAAGCCUGCUAUGUUUCCAGAUGAGCAACAGUAGCCGUCUGUGCGAUUCAGCAAAUGCUGCCUGAAGACUAUGCCAAAGGAAUGACCCAGGGAUGAGUCAGCCAGAGUACUGGCCAUGGGCAUCACCAGCCAUAGGAGAGAGGCUCUCAAAGUGUUACCAGGUGGGGAGUCUGCUCACCGUUGCGAGAGACUUAAAAUGCUCUUUUACUGUGGCCCUUUGGAAGACUGGACACACGGAAAAGAAAGUUCCGAGUGUCAGACCACAUAGCUGACCCAUUGCAGGGCAGGCAAGUUACACGCUGGAGGGGCCACGCAGUAAAUAUUUCAGACUUUGUAACUCUGCUCAGCUCUGCAUUUGUAACUGGAGAACAACUUUGGGCAGCUCCCCAAUGAGUGGAUGUGACUGUGGACCAAUCAAACAGAACUCUUGGGGGCAGGAUGGCUCAGCAGUUAAGAGCGUUUGAUGUGAAAUGACGAGCAGCAGAUCCCAGCACUGUCUGUGGGACAAGUGGACCAUGCCAGCAGACAGAAGAACUAGUAAGGUUGAGCAGGUUUAAAACCCCAGGGAGUCUUAGCAUUGAGAACAGCAGGCUUGGAAACAGCUUCCUGCCAAGCUCUUCCUGUCCUGGAACAGGUAAGCGUGACACCCCAUUGAGAGGACCACAACUAUCAAUCACAUAGGGACAACACCUGACGUCCUUUCCAUGCAAAUAGAGCAUGCCUAACAUCCCAGACUGAGCCAGCGCGAAGCAUCGAACUCUGGACCCCGCCUGAUCCUUGAAAUGUAUAUGUUUAUUCCUAUCCAUGUGGAUGAAGUACACAAGUUAUUUCACUGAGAAUUGUCUGAGAGUGGCUGUUUUAUUGAGCUGUAAGACUCUGGGGGAGAGUUUUCUCUCCUGAAGCAUUCAUUGCUGGACCUCGGAUCUGCCUAGCAGGCUGGACUCACACGCCUGCUUGCUGCUGCGGCUACCAGCUGCCCUUCGUUGUUAGUCACAACCACUCCCCACCUUGGCGCUGAGAUGAUGGUAGUGGGAGAGACCCUGACGCUGCAUGAGCCUCCCUUUGGAGAGCUCCAACACUUUGGCCAUUCCAGCCAGUCUAAAGCCCCUUGGAACCUUUCUGUCUAGAUCAGAGAUCCUCAGAUUGCGUUCUGUCUCCCCUGAGCUGCUUGCCAGCAGCUCUCUGGCACCCCAGCGAUGAAGCAGACACACAGCCCUUCACCCGUCUAGUAAAGAGGGCAUCCCUAGAUGCCCGCAGGUGCCUGUGACUCCAGUGCGAGCUAACUCCCGUGACAGGUGAGACGGGCCACGACGGAAUGGGCUCCUGCUGGACGUUAAACUCUGUACCUCUAGAGCAGAUCCUGAAGGCCAUACAGGCUUGACCUGGGUAUCCAGGCUGGUCAUGGGGAGAUGUGAAGCCAUUCGACUCACAGCAGCGGGAGCUACCCAUGGGGACGGUUGACUUACUGAGUCUGUACUCCAGAUACCACCUAGUGAGGCUGCCGGCAGGAUGCUGAGGACAUAAAUCUGUUCACUAAGACAUCCCACCCCUUUCCUGCCAAGGUCCAGGGGCUGGAAGCAGCCGGCAGACUAGCAGCGCCACCGUGUGACAGACGUGGGCCAGCACAACAAGGCAGUUCCACUUGGAGCCAGGAAUAACGUUUGUUUGUUUGUUUGUUUGUUUGUUUGGCUGGCUGUCCCAACCAGGAACAUGCUCUAAGCCCUGGGCUCCA